GGUGAUUCAACCACCAAAAUUAAUUAGGGACUAGGUGUAAGCCUAAUUCCCUUUCACUCGCGCUUGCUGCGCAGCGAACAGCACGUCGGGGUGCCUGCCGGGUGUUUGCUGUUUUUUUGCGCAGCCCCGUGGUCGUCGUCGUUCACCCCGAACCCCGUAUUUUGCGAGGAGAAGGCAAGUCGUUCAACGCUCGUCGAUGGCGAAGCUAUGCACAAAUCGGAAUCACCGUCGUCCUUACAAACGCCGUUUGAGUUUGUUUAUGGACCGAGAGAUGAUGAUCGGGC